AUUGAACGCUGGCGGCAGGCUUAACACAUGCAAGUCGAGCGGGGUGAUGGUGCUUGCACUAUCACUUAGCGGCGGACGGGUGAGUAAUGCUUAGGAAUCUGCCUAUUAGUGGGGGACAACAUCUCGAAAGGGAUGCUAAUACCGCAUACGUCCUACGGGAGAAAGCAGGGGAUCACUUGUGACCUUGCGCUAAUAGAUGAGCCUAAGUCGGAUUAGCUAGUUGGUGGGGUAAAGGCCUACCAAGGCGACGAUCUGUAGCGGGUCUGAGAGGAUGACCGGCCACAAUGGGCGUGAGACACGGCCGAGACGCCUGCGGGGGGCAGCAGUGGGGAAUAUUGGACAAUGGGGGGACCCAUGAUCCAGCCUUGCCGCGUGUGUGAAGAAGGCUUUAUGGUUGUAAAGCACUUUAAGCGAGGAGGAGGCUUUUUUGGUUAAUCCCCAAGAUGAGUGGACGUUACUCGAAGAAUAAGUACCGGAAAACUACGUGCCAGCCGCCGCAGUAA
rnacentral:rRNA from 1 species